CCUACGGGUGGCAGCAGUGGGGGAUAUUGCACAAUGGGGGAAACCCUGAUGCAGCGACGCCGCGUGGGUGAAGAAGCGCCUCGGCGCGUAAAGCCCUGUCAGCAAGGAAGAAAAUGACGGUACCUGAAGAAGAAGCCCCGGCUAACUCCGUGCCAGCAGCCGCGGUAAUACGUAGGGGGCAAGCGUUAUCCGGAUUUACUGGGGGUAAAGGGGGCGCAGGCGGCGAUGCAAGCCAGGAGUGAAAGCCCGGGGCCCAACCCCGGGACUGCUCGUGGAACUGCGUGGCUAGAGUGCAGGAGGGGCAGGCGGAAUUCCUGGUGUAGCGGUGAAAUGCGUAGAUAUCAGGAGGAACACCGGUGGCGAAGGCGGCCUGCUGGACUGCAACUGACGUUGAGGCCCGAAAGCGUGGGGAGCAAACAGGAUUAGAUACCCGGGUAGUC
rnacentral:rRNA from 1 species